AUUCAUCAUUGCAUCAUUCGCAUCAUCUGCAUUGCAUCGACACUCUGUUGUCGUCAGAUUUCAAAACUUGCAUCCAUUAUUAGUUGUCGGUUCUCUCUGUUUUGCCGUUGACCAUUUCAAGACCAACCACACACGCAUGUGCCGACGACAUCGUUAAAAAUGUUGUUUUCAAAGUGUGUAUAAAACUUUCUCGUAUUUGGUUGAAACAUGACGUGUGGUCUUAAUAGUGUGUAGGUAGGCUGCCUGCCAAAUUUCGUCACAAUUGGAGUCCGUUUGAUACCCAAACCGUUAAACCUAUAGUGACACUAUAGCCGGUCCAUUAUCGGACGUUUCAGUAUUUUAAAACUCCGAUGCUGGGCUGCCUGUUUUCCCUCUCAUCCCCGCCUAUCCCCUCUGCACACCGACCCUACCAUAAUCUAGUCCGAAAACUCCCCCCAGACCCGAACCCGACGGUUGUAAGCGUUAGGUUCGGAUCAACCCCGUAAUACCCCAAACCAUCAUCGGUGUGUCAAUUGGUCUCCCUAACCUAGUAUUCUCAGCCAUCCAAUUUAAUCGGAGGGCCAAUUAAACCCCGUAAAUUCACUUGCCACUUAUAUAUACAAAUGCGGAUCAAAUGCCUACGCUAACCCUAGCCCAUUCUAACCUUAGUGCCAGGAAGAGCAUCCGCUCGAUUCCUUCCACCCUCCUAGUGCCGUCAUCACGAGUGACUAACACUCCUC
rnacentral:lncRNA from 1 species